UGGCUCAGUUGAUAGAGCAUGGUGUUUGCAACGCCAGGGUUGUGGGUUUGAUUCCCAU
rnacentral:tRNA from 1 species